GAUGAACGCUGGCGGCGUGCUUAACACAUGCAAGUCGAACGAUGAAGCUCAGCUUGCUGGGUGGAUUAGUGGCGAACGGGUGAGUAACUCGUGAGUAACCUGCCCUUAACUCUGGGAUAAGCCUGGGAAACUAGGUCUAAUACCGGAUAGGAGCGUCCACCGCAUGGUGGGUGUUGGAAAGAUUUAUCGGUUUUGGAUGGACUCGCGGCCUAUCAGCUUGUUGGUGAGGUAAUGGCUCACCAAGGCGACGACGGGUAGCCGGCCUGAGAGGGUGACCGGCCACACUGGGACUGAGACACGGCCCAGACUCCUACGGGAGGCAGCAGUGGGGAAUAUUGCACAAUGGGCGAAAGCCUGAUGCAGCGACGCCGCGUGAGGGAUGACGGCCUUCGGGUUGUAAACCUCUUUCAGUAGGGAAGAAGCGAAAGUGACGGUACCUGCAGAAGAAGCACCGGCUAACUACGUG
rnacentral:rRNA from 1 species